rnacentral:rRNA from 1 species
AACGAACGCUGGCGGCAUGCCUAACACAUGCGAGUCGAACGAGACCUUCGGGUCUAGUGGCGCACGGGUGCGUAACGCGUGGGAACCUGCCCUUAGGUUCGGAAUAACUCCCCGAAAGGGGUGCUAAUACCGGAUAAUGUCUUCGGACCAAAGAUUUAUCGCCUUUGGAUGGGCCCGCGUUGGAUUAGCUAGUUGGUAGGGUAAAAGCCUACCAAGGCGACGAUCCAUAGCUGGUCUGAGAGGAUGAUCAGCCACACUGGGACUGAGACACGGCCCAGACUCCUACGGGAGGCAGCAGUGGGGAAUAUUGGACAAUGGGCGAAAGCCUGAUCCAGCAAUGCCGCGGGAGUGAUGAAGGCCUUAGGGUUGUAAAGCUCUUUUACCCGGGAUGAUAAUGACAGUACCGGGAGAAUAAGCGCCGGCUAACUCCGUG